ensembl:lncRNA
CUGGGUGUCCCUGACAUGGGCCUGGGCCUGGUGUGCCUGUGCAAGUGUUCAAAGUCUCCCUCGUGCCUGCAGAGUGAGCAGCUGAGCACCAGCUCAGCCUUCCCUCGGGGUCCAGCCCUGCAUCUGCAUGGUUUUUUUCUCAGUGACCCAGGCCUGGCCGGCUGCACGUGGCUGCCAGGCGCCACAUUUCCACGGUGCUGUCCAUGUGGGCUGGGGCACUGCUGCACCAGCCAUCCCUCGCCCGGUGAUCCCACGAGCUAGAUCUCUGGGGCGGAGAGUGGGGCAUCAAGGCAGUCUCUCCGCUACCCCUGAGCACCAGUGCCGGAAAAAGCAGCUCUCUCUUGUAUCGCAGGCAAAAAUCUGCAAGGAAGGCAGACAGGUAACUUCUAAAUGUUGCUUCAUCCUGACAGCUGACUCCCCAUGGCAGGAUGUCCUUGGGGAGGGUCCGCUCCUGUCAUCUGUCCUGCUGCGCGGAGUGCCGUCUCUGAGGCCAAUGUGUGACACAAUUGGACGAUACCCACGAUGUCCCACGCAAAGAGAUCAGAAUCUUGAAGCAGGGGAUGUAGUCUUCAAGGUGACCACUAGGUGGGAAUGAAACCAGUGCUAGAAAUUUCAUGGGGCACUGAACCAUUCAGGAAUACCAACUAAUGAAUAGAUUUUUUGUUUUUGUUUUUUUGCUUGUUCUGAGCUCCCUGAAACAAAAAAGCUUGGGUGAGUUACAAAAACAGAAAGAUUUUGAUUAGUGUUGAACUGGCUAAAAUUAAAUAUUCUGGUUCAGUUAUCUUAAUGGAAAGCUAAACUAAAGAAAUAGAUAAAAGUGUUGGGAAAAGAAAAAAAAAUCAGAAGCCAAACGACUUGCAUUGUGCAGAACCUGUAUUUUCUGUUAGAAAAGUCCUUCUGAUGGAAAAAUUUCCAGGGUUCUUCACUGCAGAAACACAGCCUUGCAUCUUUAUGAGGAGAGACUGACCUGUCUUGCUGUGUCAGAAUAUACGCAAAGGGCUGUCAUUGAGGCAACGGCUGAGGAGGAAUUCAUUGACUCAGGACAAGGUCACUGCAUGAGGAGAGCAGUAACCGCGGUGUUGCCUGAGAUGGCGGCAUCGGGGGACAGGCAGGGGAAGUCAGCAGAGGUGAGUGGCUCCGGUAGCACUGACAGUAACCUUUCUGCAGCAGUGUCUUUCCAGCUGCUGACAGUCGGGGUUGGGAACAGCCCUGACCAGGGUAUUCUCUUCCCAUUUCAAAACACAAACAAGUUGCUAGCAAGAAGGAGCGGAGCCAUGGCUCUCAGAGCCGGUUAGAAAUCAGGCUGCCGUACGGCAUGGAAGGACGGAGGGGAAGGUUCAUGAUCAUCCCUAGCACUGCUCCCGUGAAAAUGACGGCUUGCACUUACUCUGCCUGGGUGUAAAUCAGGCUUUAUCUUCUGAUUUCAGCCCUGAUUUCAAUGCUUCUGCCCUCCUGGCCAACUUCUGACAACGGCUGAAACUUGCUACGUCUUGCUCCACUGUGCUUGUUAUUGGCAUGGGUUGGCUGAGCAGCUGGACCUGACAAAUGAACUCCAAAUGCUGGGGGGCCAAAGGUGCAUUGGUUUCGUGAGGUACUGAUUUCUCUUGUUUCUUGAUGACUUUAAUAUUGUGUCCUUUUUGCAGUUAAAAGCCUCACUGUCUUUUCCUGCCCUCAUCUAAACUCUUACUCUUCCCUGGUUUUCUGCCCCCUUAUUAUUCAUGAUUCUCCAUUCUGGUUCCACUGUCCCCCUCUCAGAAGCAAUGUGAAGGCUUAUUCCUCUCUUCUUGUGUGUUCACUGUCUGGAUGGAUAGCCAUCUCCUAUUAGCUAGCCUCCUCUCCUGAAAAUAACCCCUAUUUGUUUCCCCUCCUCUACUGCUUAAAUGACAACAGUUGUGGGAGAGGCAGCUAAACUGGCUUCUCUUCCUCAUUCGUGUGGCUUGUACAAUUGCCUCGGCUUUCCGUUAUAAUGAAGGGCAUGGACAACCAGCCUAACAGACUGGAGUAAAAAGAGCUACCGUCACAGGACCACUGGGGAUUACUGGCAAACAUGUUAUGGCAAACGGUCGUUCCCAGCUGAGGCUGCUGCCUGUUCACUGUUGCAUCUCGUCUCCUAAAUUUCUACUGGGUUUUCCUGUUAAGAGGUUGAUGAUCUUUGAUGACUGGGUCAGAAGGAUCAGACUGGCAUCCAUCAGGGUAGGGUAGAAAGAUUUCUGAGUAUUUUUUGAUCAAUUGUUUUGAUCUCCCAGUUUGAUGGCAGAGCUUUUAUUCAUACAGGACGGAAUUGUAUAAUGGGAGUGUUGGGCUUCCAUCUUUCUGUCCUCCCUUUCAUCCGUCUGUCCGUCCUUCCUUAAUCAUAGAAGAGAAGGAUGACUGCUAUUGACUCAGCUGAGAUUUCCAACGAGUAGGUGAUUUGUGAGUCUUUCCAGUCCUUUUCACCUCCUCUCCUCCCUGUGCCCCACAUCUGGCCUUCUCACGAGAAGGGCCAGGAUGAGGUGCUAGAUGUAAUGUGCAAUUUGAGACUUGCAUAAACGAGGACAUGAAUCAGUUGUCCAAACAUUCUCCACCUCCGUGAUGUAAUCCAAGAUUGUAAUGGAGGCUUCCUUCAAUUCUCAGCAAACUCAUGACACUGCCAGUUGACACACUGCAAGGAAAUCUGCUGAGGGGAACACGUGACUCAAACAGGCUUGGGAUUGCCAAAGCACCUCUAGGUGACAUUAGCAUGAAGCAUGCAACAGACAGAUGGCCUCUGGACAGAAAAAGGUCAACUUCCCAAGUAAAACGCGUUCCCGUGUCAUCUGUUGUGUAGGCCACAGAGGAAGAAAAUAUUAAAGAAGUUUGCCAGCAGUAAGGUUUGCUUUUAACCCCUGCGGACAGCCACUUGUAUUGUGGUAACGAUAAUUCCAGGUUUGGUAACACUAGGCACACAACAAACCCUGAAAAAGUUUACCCCUCAAGAAGUGGCACAGUGAUAGAGGGUUUAAUUUAUUGCGACUACUUCCAUUCUGAUCUGUUCGCAGUUUGGUUGCUGGCUGCUGCUUUUGGCAAGAUUUUUCUUCUAAUGCCUUCUUAUUAAAAAAAAAAAUGUUGUGGCCAGGGGAAAUACUAAUAUGAGCGGUUUUUGCACAAAAGCAUAGCAUUUCAGAGAGUUUACAGUAAACCUUACUUCAGAAAAGGACUGUCCUUCUAUAGAGCACCAAGAGAAGAAGCGUUGGCAUUUUUCUCUUGGUCGAACAGCCGCAGACUUGAAAGCUAGCAUCCUUUGCCUGAAUCCCAAGAGGCUGGAAUGGAUUUCAGACCAAAUGCACAGACUUGUGGGCAAGAACCGUACAGCAGAGUUACUGAUGGGGCACGCCUGGGAUGCUGAACAGUGUUAAACGAUAGGGAGAUGUGCAAUGGACAUCUCCCUGCUGCAGCUGAUGGGAGCUGUGCUCGCCUGGCGUUAGAGGGCUGCUGGUGAAACAGCUGUAGCAGAGCAGGGACUGCGGAACGAGGCAGGCUGCAGUUCUAGCCACCCUCGGUCCCAUGAGGAACAACCACGCAAUGAUGUGUAGGUAGCCCUGAGGACACAGACGACUAUGGUAUCCGGUGCGUCUCUCCAGUACCAGUCUCUAGUUCCCAUCACCACCAGUUUCAUUACUCUGCCUUGAUACAGUUUGAUAGGGGCACUAGAGAACUUCCCCGACAGGUGCCUGUAAUACUUGCACGUGAGGCAAAGCCGUUUUGUAAGGAAGGCUUACAUAGCGCAACCUUGGAGGCACACUGCAGGCCCUCCCAUUCAGCGGAAAGAGAGGCAGCCAAAGGUGACUCUGGAAAUGGGCGGUGCAGGUGAGGAAGAGCUGCAGCAGAGGGAUGGAGGUGGUGCCUGUAAAAAUGAUGGAAGGAAUGAGGGAGGUUCACUCUCUGCAGCAAAUUAUUGGGGUGUGUCAUCAGGGCCUGACUGCGUGGUUGCUGGACUGGCAAUCUAAGUCCAGCCAGCAAGCUGUUGAGGUGGCAGGCUGGUAUGCGGCCUCAAGCUUUUCAGUUGCUCAAUCAUGUGCAGGAGUGAGAAGAAUACAGGGUCUGGAAGGGCUGCUAUGGGCUGGGAAUAAGAUGAGCAACAGGAUAGGCGGGGAAAGCCCAAGCCAAACCAAGAGAGUCAGCUAAAAGUUAAGCCAGACAGAAAGAAAAUAAAUCCCACUCAGGCCUGAAACUGGACUAUUCC